CACGUAGGGGCCAAGCGUUGUCCGGAUUUAUUGGGCGUAAAGAGCUCGUAGGCGGUUCGACAAGUCGGGUGUGAAAACUCCGGGCUCAACCCGGAGACGCCACCCGAUACUGUCGUGACUGGAGUCCGGUAGGGGAGUGGGGAAUUCCUGGUGUAGCGGUGAAAUGCGCAGAUAUCAGGAGGAACACCCGUGGCGAAGGCGGCUCUCUGGGACGGUACUGACGCUGAGACGCGAAAGCGUGGGGAGCGAACAGG
rnacentral:rRNA from 1 species